rnacentral:lncRNA from 1 species
GUAAACAAAGCAAUACAUUUAAAAUAAACACAGGCAGAACCUUAGAUGGUUCCAGGGUCAUAGAAACAGAUGGUGAAAACAGAAGAACGGCCUGCCUCAAGGAACAUUUCUUGCUCCAUCCAUGUUUAACAUUUACACAAAUGAAUCAACCACUGUCAGAAGGCACAGAGAGAUUCAUCUACGCUGACGAUUGUGCCAUCACUGCUCAAGCAGAGAGGUUUGAGAUGGUUCCAGGGUCAGAGAAGCAGAAGAACGGCCUGCCGCAAGGAACAUUUCUUGCUCCAUCCAUGUUUAACAUAUAUACAAAUGAACAACCACUUCCAGAAUGGGAUACAGAAUUUCCUCUAUGCUGGCGAUUGUGCCAUCACCGCCCAAACAGGGAGCUUUGAAAUGGUUGAAGCUUUAGGUGCUCUUACUGCCUAUUACAGUAGCAAAAUGACAGUUACGAAGUAGCAACAAAAAUAACGUUAUGGUUGGGGGGCUCACCACAAACAUGAGGAACUGUAUCAAGGGGUUGCGGCGUCAGGAAGGUUUCAUACAUGUGAUAAACAUUGGAUUCUUGUCUCCGCCCUGCUUUCAGAUUUGGGGGUUCAGAAGACGUCCGGGAGCGACUGCCCGCAGGGAUACAAGCGGCUCAACAGCACCCACUGCCAGGGUAAGAACGGAGGCUCCGAGAACGAGAUGUCAACUAAGUCAAGGCAGGUUGUUGCCUUGGGAAUCAUAACCAUGGCUGAUGUUCUACCCGCUCUCUCCAUCCAUCUCUCCUUCCUGCAGACAUCAACGAGUGUGCCAUGCAAGGCGUGUGCCAAGGGGGCGAAUGUUUGAACACGCAAGGGAGCUUCCGCUGUGCGUGCAAACCGGGACACGUCUUGGGCCCUUCGCGGACUCACUGCGUGCGUAUGUAUCUUACUCUUCCCAUCUCCAUCUCCAUUGACUCUUUCUCUGUUUCCUUCUCCGUCGUUGUUUCCAAUAACGUCUCUUUCUCUCAAUUUCCGGGGGGAGAAUAGCAGAAAAGGGAGGCGAGAAGAGCCUGUGCUUCCGGCUGGUCAGCCCCGAGCACCAGUGCCAACACCCGCUGCCCACCAAGCUCACCCGCCAGACCUGCUGCUGCAGCGUGGGAAAGGCCUGGGGCGCCCGGUGCGAACGAUGCCCGGCCGACGGCACCGCUUCUUUCCGAGAGAUCUGUCCCGCUGGGAAGGGCUACCACAUCCUGACCUCGCACCAGACCUUGACCAUCCAAGGCGAGAGCGAGUUCACACUCCAGAUCCACCCGGACGGCACCACCGACUUGCAACAACCGCAGCAGCACGUGGAUCUGCCCACCCGCCCGCCUGCAGGCAGCGACUCCCAAGAGCCCGAAGCCAUCACUCCGCCAAUGGUAAGUGUGCUGGGAUCCUGGAGGAAGAAACAUAUAGUCGGAUAAGGUAGAAAAUUCAAUUACUAAUAUUAUUAUUAUUAUUAUUAUUAUUAUUAUUAUUAUUAUUAUUAAUAGUAUUUGAAACACAACAAGAUGAGUCCACAGCAGACACUCUCCUGGCUGUUGUAUUGGAUCACAUGUCGGACACUCCCUAUUAUUAUUAUUAUUAUUAUUAUUAUUAUUAUUAUUAUUAAUAGUAUUUGAAACACAACAAGAUGAGUCCACAGCAGACACUCUCCUGGCUGUUGUAUUGGAUCACAUGUCGGACACUCCCUAUUAUUAUUAUUAUUAUUAUUAUUAUUAUUAUUAUUAUUAUAAACACAACAAGAUGAGUCCACAGCAGACACU